rnacentral:ncRNA from 1 species
GGUCAUUGAAGGCAGAAAGGCUCCUGUCACACCUCUCCCGCUAGCCCAUAGAGAGGUACCUGAGAUGUUGGGUACGCCGUCCAACCAUUGACC